rnacentral:lncRNA from 1 species
UUUAUUUCUGUCUGUUCCAUUCCAUUGGUCUAUGGGUCUGUUUUUAUAUCUGUACCAUGCUGUUUUGGUUACUGUAGCUUCCUUAUAGUAUAGUUUAACUCAGGUAAUGUGAUACCUCAGCUUUGUUUUAUUUGCUUAGGAUUGAUUUUUUGGUUCCAUAUGAAUUUUAGAAUGGAUUUUUUCUUUUUUUUUUUUUUUGAGACGGAGUCUUGCUGUGUCUCCCAGGCUCUGAGUGCAGCUGUGCAAUCUCAGCUCACUGCAACCUCUGCCUCCUGAGUUCAAGCAAUUCUCCUGCCUCAGCCUCCCAAAUAGCUGGGAUUACAGGAGCCCGCCAACCAUGCCCAGCUAAUUUAUGUAAUUUUAGUAGAGAUGGGGUUUCAUCAUCUUAGCCAGGCUGGUCUUGAACUCCUGACGUUGUGAUCCACCCGCCUCAGCCUCCCAAAGUGCUGGGAUUACAGGCGUGAGCCACUGGACCCGGCAGGAUUUUUCUAAUUCUGUGAAAAAUGAUGUUUGUAGUUUGAUAGGAAUAGCAUUGAAUCUGUGGAUUGCUUUGGGCAGUAUGGCCAUUUUAAUGAUAUUGAUUCUUCUAGCUCAUGAGCUUGGAAUGUUUUUCCAUUUGUUUGUGUCAUCUCUGAUUUCUUUCAGCGUGUUUUGUAGUUCUUGUCCAGCUCACAUUUUAUCUUCAUACUUUGAGUAGCCUCCUUCCAUGAAUGGAUCAUCCAGUGGCCGCACUUAGGUUCUCCUAUGAAGAUUUUUGUUGUAUUGUACCUCAGAACCAUCUCCAUAUUCUCUAAAUAAUAAUAAUGAUGGUCAUAAAUUGAAUAGAAGUAUUUACUAGAUGAGGAGGAAAACCCUAAAACAAAACAUGAACAUAAAAUAUUUUUAAAAGGAAGACAUACAAACAGACACUAUAACCAAAUAAGAUGACAGAAUUAAGGCCUUAUGCCACAGCCAGAGUUGAAAAAUGCAGAAAAAAAGUUUAAAAACAAGGAAUUAAAGCCAAACCUAACUUUUAUCAAAAUAAAUGUAAAAGUGAUGAAAGAAUCUGUUAAGAUAUCAGAUUGUAAUAUAAAAGAUACUAGAAACAAAUGCCAAUAGAACACUUAAGUACAUUUUAUAUAUUCAUCCAUUAGAAUAUAUAGCUGUCAGAAUGAUAGAAGAAUUACAUAUGUGUGCAAAAGUUUUUGUAUCCAUGUGGAAAACACAGGAAGCUAAUAGUACUGUUUUUCUCUGGAGUGGGUGUAAGGGUAGAGACUUAACUCUUUACAUCCUUAUGGCAGCCUUCGAAUACCUUUUAACUCCCAGUUCCCUUAACUGGGGGUGUGUAUCCUAGAAUCCUCGACCCAUUAGAAAGUAUAUUGUAGACAUCAUACUCUUUACCCUUUAACACUACACAUGCACUUCAUAAGAACAAGCAUGCUGUCUUACCCAAGUACAGCUAUCAAGUUCAGAAAUUUAACAUUGCCAUAAUACUUUACAGUCCAUAUUUCAAUUUCAUUUGCUGUUUUAUUGGUAAUUUUUUUCAGCUCCACGAUCCAGCCUAGGAUCAUAUGUUGUAUUGCCAUAACCCUCUAAUCUGGAGCAGUUCCUCAGCUUUUCUUUGUUUUUUAUAAUAGUAAUAUAUUUGAAAAAUACAGGACAGCUAAAGGAUAGAGUAUCCUUCUAUUUGGGUUUUUCUGAUGUUUCCUCAUGGUUAGAUUGGGGUAGUGCAGUGAGGGUUGAAAUGCUGUAAGUGAUAUGUAUUGCAGGUAUACAUCCAGAUGCACAGAAUGUCCAUUUGUCCCUUAUUGGUGAUGCUAAUUUUGAUCACUUGGGUAAGAUGUCCAGUUUCUCCAGUGUAUCGUUAUUGUUUUUCCUUUUGCAAUUAGUGGGUAAUUUGUGAGGAGAAACUUUGAGACCUUGUUGACAAUUCUGUUCCUCAUCAAAUCUACCCCUCCUAGGUUUAGCAUCCUUUGACGAUUCUUGUCUGAAUAAAUUUUUACUAGGAUGUUUCCAAAAUUGUGAUUGUUCUAACUCUAUUAUUAUUUCUGUAUUAAUUAGUCAUCAUUCUACUGUAAGGAAGAGGUUUCCCUUUAUCAUCAACUUCGAGUAAGUACUUUUUUCUGAGCCAUUUGAAUAUUCCUUACUAGAUGUGGUGCCUCUUUACCCCAAUUACUUAAGUUUGUAUUUCCA